UCUGCGGUGUUGCAUCUUGUGUCUAUAAAAUGAGCAGCUCAUAAUGCCUAGAUAAUCCUUUCUACUGCUUUUUUUUAAAGAUAUAACGUCAGCCAUGGAGAACUGCAAAUAUGUUGCUACUGCUCUCAAUAACAUUGCUCCCCUGAAUUUAUCAGGCACUAUUGACAAAGGUCAGUGGUAAAAAGUUCUGGACGAUGAAUGCUGACUCUGAAAAUAACACGUUUUGAAAUCAGUGGAACACAACAGGCCAAACAAGCUGCACAAACUAAACAGAAACAACACAGGAAGUCUUAUAAAGGGGUUGCAGUCUGCCGUGAAGCUUUCAUCCAUGUAUACAGCAUCAAUUAGUAGAACAUGCCUGACUCUAAUCCACCAGUCAUACAGUCAUCAAAAAGAGAGCUAGCGCAAGCAAAGGCAGUCAUCAACUACAUGCUCCAUUUCUUCGCCUACUACGGAGUUGGGAUAACACGUAUGAACCUGAAUUGUAAUAACUGCAGUGGCCAAAACAAGAACAAUUUUGUGCUCUGGUAUUGUGCCUGAUGGACCAUGCACAGGCUCCACCACAAUCUGGACCUUCACUUCCUGAUCACAGGCCACCUCAAGUUUGCACCCGACUGGUGCUUUGGCCUUAUCAAGCAGCUCUUCAGAAAGACCAGAGUGGACACUUUGUCUGAGAUUGCUGGUGUUGUGAAGGACAGCACUGUGACAGGGGUCAACAUCCCACAGCUGGUUGGACUGGAGGAUGGUACAGUGCUGGUGGAAAGCUAUGGCUGGCAACAACACCUGACUCUGUACGUCAGGCCGCUGCCACAGAUCAAGCAGUACCAGCACUUCAGUUGUUCCCUGUUUUACAGUUUCGAUGCUCUGGAGCCUGGUGUUGUCGCCAGGAGCAUUCGGACUGUCAGGACCAGGUUUCAGCUGCUGCGCAAUGCUAACAUCCUUCCUCUCAUAGAUAGUCUGCCUGUAAAAGCACCACCUGGACUGGACACAGCUUGACAAACAGUAUUUUUGAGAAGAUCAGGGAGUUUUGCGACGAAGAGACUAUGGACAUCACAUGCCCUGCACCAAAGUCAAGGGCAGGACAGAAACAGGUUCUCCGAAUAUAGAUUCCCUUGUUCAUGCGUGGUUUGGACGGACCAGUCAUCAGCGCUAUCUGCAGUGCCUCUAUUCACAUGACUCUCUCCUAACACACACGCCAUACGCUGCUGCUACUAUUGUUUAUCCCGCUGCUCAGCCACUUUACCCCUGAUUGUAUGCCUAUAAUUACCUCGUUUAUCACUGAUAUCGUUAUUGAAAUCGUUCUUGUACAUACUGUAUAUUUUAUUUAUACUGACACUAUCUAUUUCUGAUAUUGCUACUAUCUACGUAAGUAACCAUUCGGCUGUACCGUUUACACCUUCUGUAGAGACCAUCCACUUAGCAAGACUUAGCAAGACAAAAUAUUGAUAUAUAAAAUGACUAUUGAUGUUUGGUCGUAACAUGAUUUUGUGACAUACCACAACAAUAUCAUGUGACUGUAUCAAGUGUCCACCAAAUAAAUAUAUGGCGCAUGCAGCUGUUUAUGUACAGUACUAUACAUGUGCAACAACAAAAAACUCGCUCAGGUUGCAUGGACUUAAAACCUCUUACAUCUAGACGUUCUGCUAGCGGAACACCUGCUCCAAUAUCCAAUGAUGGGCGUGGCGCGAAAUACAAACUCCUCGAAAAUCCGAAAACUUCAAUUUUUCAAACAUAUGACUAUUUUACACCAUUUUAAAGACAAGACUCUCCUUUAUCUAACCACACUGUCCGAUUUCAAAAAGGCUUUACAACGAAAGCAAAACAUUAGAUUAUGUCAGGAGAGUACCCAGCCAGAAAUAAUCAGACACCCAUUUUUCAAGCUAGCAUAUAAUGUCACAAAAAACAAAACCACAGCUAAAUGCAGCACUAACCUUUGAUGAUCUUCAUCAGAUGACACUCCUAGGACAUUAUGUUAUACAAUACAUGCAUGUUUUGUUCAAUCAAGUUCAUAUUUAUAUCAAAAACCAGCUUUUUACAUUAGCAUGUGACAUUCAGAACUAGCAUUCCCACCGAACACUUCCGGUGAAUUUACUAAAUUACUCACGAUAAACGUUCACAAAAAACAUAACAAUUAUUUUAACAAUUAUAGAUACCGAACUCCUUUACGCAAUCGCGGUGUCCGAUUUUAAAAUAGCUUUUCGGUGAAAGCACAUUUUGCAAUAUUCUGAGUAGAUAGCCCGGGCAUCAUGGCUAGCUAUUUUGACACCCACCAAGUUUGGCACUCACCAAACUCAGAUUUACUAUAAGAAAAAUUGGAUUACCUUUGCUGUUCUUCGUCAGAAUGCACUCCCAGGACUUCUACUUCAUCACCCAAUGUUGUUUUGGUUCCAAAUAAUCCAUAGUUAUAUCCAAAUAGCGGCGUUUUGUUGUGCGUUCAAGACACUAUCCGAAGGGUAACAAAGGGUGACGCGCCCGGCACGUAUCGUGACAAAAAAUUUCAAAAUAUUUCAUUACCGUACUUCGCAGCAUGUCAAACGCUGUUUAAAAUCAAUUUUUAUGCUUUUUUUCUCGUAAAAUAGCGAUAAUAUUCCGACUGGGAAACCCUGUUUUCGUUCAAAGACUGAAAAUGUCGUGCACGCGCGCACCCGUCUCAUUGUUCUCAGAUCGACCACUAUCCAAAUGCGCUACUGUUUUUCAGCCAGAGACUGGAGAGUCAUCAUUCAACGUUCUGGCGCCUUCUGAGAGCCUAUGGGAGCCUUAUAAAGUGUCACGUUACAGCAGAGAUCCCCUGUUUUGGAUAGAGAUGACAAAGAAGGCCAAGAAAUUGUCAGACAGGGUACUUCCUGUACAGAAUCUUCUCAGGUUUUGGCCUGCCAUUUGAGUUCUGUUAUACUCACAGACACCAUUCAAACAGUUUUGGAAACUUUGGAGUGUUCUCUAUCCAAAGCUACUAAUUAUAUGCAUAUUCUAGUUUCUGGGCAGGAGUAAUAACCAGAUUAAAUCGGGUAUGUUUUUUAUCGGCCGUGAAAAUACUGCCCCCUGUCCAUAACAAGUUAACUUAUGUAUGGAGUACUAUAUGAUAAGUGCAUGUGUAACAGUAUAUAAAGUAUGCUAUGUACUGGUGUGAAGGCAUUUGGGCAGUGGUGUAAAGUAUUUAAGUAGUACUUUAAAGUAUUUUUACUUAAGUUGUUUUUGUGGUAUCUGUACAUUACUUUACUAUUUUUUUUUUGGCAACUUUUACUUCACUACAUUCAUAAAGAAAAUAAUGUACUUUUUACUCCAUACAUGUUUCUUGACACCCAAAAGUACUCGUUACAUUUUGACAGGAACAUUUUCCAACUCACACAUCUCUGUACAUCCCUACUGCCUUUGAUCUGGCAGACUCACUAAACACAAAUGCUUCAUUUGUAAAUUAUGUCUGAGUAUUGGAGUGUGCGCCUGGCUCUCCGUCAAUAAAAUAAUAAAAUAGUGCAGUCUGGUUUGCUUAAUAUACGGAAUUUGAAAUGG
rnacentral:lncRNA from 1 species